rnacentral:misc_RNA from 1 species
GAUGAAGAACGUAGCGAAAUGCGAUAAGUAGUGUGAAUUGCAGAAUUCAGUGAAUCAUCGAAUCUUUGAACGCACAUUGCGCCCUUUGGUAUUCCAAAGGGCAUGCCUGUUCGAGCGUCAUUUGUACCCUCAAGCUUUGCUUGGUGUUGGGCGUCUUGUCUCUAGCUUUGCUGGAGACUCGCCUUAAAGUAAUUGGCAGCCGGCCUACUGGUUUCGGAGCGCAGCACAAGUCGCACUCUCUAUCAGCAAAGGUCUAGCAUCCAUUAAGCCUUUUUUUUAACUUUUGACCUCGGAUCAGGUAGGGAUACCCGCUGAACUUAAGCAUAUCAAUAAGCGGAGGA